rnacentral:rRNA from 1 species
AAAAUAAAAAGAUUUGGCGGUAUUUUAGACUUUUCAGAGGAACUUGUCUUGUAAUUGAUAAUCCACGAUUUAAAUUACUUUUUUUUUAAUUUUUUUUUUCCCCUUUUUGGAAAUUUUUUUAAAAAUUUUAAUUUCCCAUUUUUUUAAUUAAAAAAUAAAUCAGAUCAAGAUGUAGUUAAUAAAAAAGUAAUGGUGAGUUACAUUUAUAUAAAGUAUAAGAAUAUAUAUAUAUAAAAUAUAUUGAAUUUGGAUUUGAAAGUAAUUUAAAUAAUUAUUU